rnacentral:rRNA from 1 species
AUGGAGGGAUCAGCCGGCAGAUCAACGAGCACGGAGACGCAGGCGCCCAAGGAAUCAGAGACGUUGGCACCGAUGGGUCGGGAUGGUAGCCACGAGGAGCAGGUGACGCGGAGUGACUCUGAAUUCAAAUCAGAGGUGGGGGCAGAGUCAGUGAAGUGUUCGGAUACCAACGAGGGGAUGUCCAUGGUCAAAUCAGACAAGUUGAUACUCGAACCUGCAGAGCCCAGCACCACCAAUGCAAUGACCAGAUUGGAACAGUACUCCGUCCAAGAUGACACCGAUCAUGACAAGAUGGACAUAGGCAAAUCAGGCACACUAUUGACCAUGGAGGCCAAGGAGAAGGCCGCUGAGGAGAUGGCUCACGAGGCCGAGAUGUUCGCUUGGUACAUUGAGGGUUGGGAAUCGGAAUGGGGUAAAACCUGCGGUUCCUUCACAGACCAAACGGUGCUGAGUUCCACGUGUUUUGUACACUACACACCUGGACGCAUGCCACAGAUUCGUAGAGGGUCUACCCCGGACACCUUGCAGGUCUUCUCCAUCAAGCUUGCAGAAAUAACCGGUGGCCUCCGAUGGCCAUUGUCUGUGUACGGCGUGGUCGCCGCCCGAGACACCGUGGAUCACAACCGCAAUCUUAUCUUCUCUUGCGAUAGGAGCCAUGCCCAAGAACUGAAACAAGAUGAUCCUUUUUUGCACUUGAUUGGCCCGUCCCGUGCAAUUGUGUUUGAGGACAUGCUCGACUUCGAAAUCCAAUUAAAAGUGAAAGGUACAACCCAGUCUGAAGAUGAAGCACUGAUCAGACAUGUAUGCAGUUACGCGGGAGGAGGAUAUGGUCCUGGUGUAACUAUUGAGAACUGUUUCUGCUCGCUGGAGUUAUGCCUGCAGCGAGUUACUCGAUCGGUCCAGGCCACUAUUGUGAGUGUCCAGGUUGUGAAAGGGUCAUGGCCCUUUGAAUAUGGCGGACGAGUUGCUUGCUACUCGCUGUCAGGAGAAUUUGUGCCCACGGAUAGGGGAGUUGUCCGUGCUAUUGAUCCCUCGUCCAGCCAAAUUGUGCUGCAUGAUUCAAAAGAUGGAGCGGAACUGAAAGGUUUCCAUGGUUAUGUGCAUCUUUCGAGGCGGGUUGUUUCGGUAGGAAUUAGAGGAAUGUUGGAUGUUGAGAUACAAGCCUAUUCCAAAUCUGGUGAUACCGCUACACGAGGUCAUGUCAGUUUCCUGCCCAAACUUUGCAACAUAAGCCAUGAGAAAUGUGACCUAGAUGGCGCUGAGGUAGUGGUUACUGUUGCUUGGUCUCUUGUCCCUACGGACAAGCGGGACAUCAUGGCAGAGGGAUGGAGCGGCGCGAAGGUUAUUUGA